rnacentral:rRNA from 1 species
UACAGAGGGUGCAAGCGUUAAUCGGAAUUACUGGGCGUAAAGCGUGCGUAGACGGCUAUCUAAGUCGGGUGUGAAAGCCCCGGGCUCAACCUGGGAAUUGCAUUCGAGACUGAAUAGCUAGGGUACGGUAGAGGGAAGUGGAAUUCCGGUGUAGCGGUGAAAUGCGUAGAUAUCGGAAGGAACAUCAGUGGCGAAGGCGGCGACCUGGGUAGAUACUGACGCUGAGGUGCGAAAGCGUGGGGAGCAAACAGG